GACGAACGCUGGCGGCGUGCUUAACACAUGCAAGUCGAGCGGUAAGGCCCUUUCGGGGGUACACGAGCGGCGAACGGGUGAGUAACACGUGGGUGACCUGCCCUCAGCUCUGGGAUAAGCCUGGGAAACCGGGUCUAAUACCGGAUAUGACUCCAUGACGCAUGUUGUGGGGUGGAAAGCCUUGUGCGGCUGAGGACGGGCCCGCGGCCUAUCAGCUUGUUGGUGGGGUGAUGGCCACCAAGGCGACGACGGGUAGCCGGCCUGAGAGGGCGACCGGCCACACUGGGACUGAGACACGGCCCAGACUCCUGCGGGAGGCAGCAGUGGGGAAUCUUGCGCAAUGGGCGAAAGCCUGACGCAGCGACGCCGCGUGAGGGAUGACGGCCU
rnacentral:rRNA from 1 species